CUUAGGGCCAUGUUGACGGACAGUAAAUUUAGUGUCGCAACUGCCAAGCUCUUGGUUUCUAUCUCGGCACCACGGCACAGUAACAUGACGACGCAACUGUAUGCAACUUGUCCAAAAGCGGGGUUAGGGUCACACGACAGCGUGUGUUUCUUCACUGCCUCAGCGAGAUGAAAGCGCAGCGUGUCUGCCUGCAGACCGUGCCGAGCAGUCCGGGAUUCAAUUCUACUUGAUUUGUCAUUAUACUUCCACGGAUGAGCAACAGCGGCCUGCUCGAAGUCCCAGCCGCACGCGAGACGACGAAGCCGGGCAGGGCGGCCGUCUCGCUGUCACCCCACAUCUCCGAAGAAGCUGCAGAAGGGAGGAAGCCGGGCGGGGUGUUUCUCAGAUUUUCCCGGUGCGGCCCGGGUUCCUGGGAAUGUGCAGGAGCGAAUGGGAACUUUGAGUCAGAGUGAGUCACGGCGACAGGGGCAGCUGGAAAGUGUGGAGGGAGAGAGAGAGAGAAAGAGAGAGGAAACCAGCUCCCUCGCAGCUGCCAGAGCGGAGGCUGCAGGCAGGAACGCUCAGAUGGUGUGCUUUUACGGGCGUAAACAAACGCAGCUCCGCCGCAUGUCAGCGUGUGCCUACAUGAAACACAUCACUGUGAGGCAAACAGCCUUUCGCCUGGGCACCUGCACCUGCCGGUACCCUAAAAGCUGACAACAGCAGAGAACACCUCUGUACGCCAAGGGGGGCGGGAGUGGGGAACAAGCCAUCCAGCCAUGAUGCCAAAACUGAGACCCUGGCGGAUCUGGAUAGGAUCCUCACGUCCAUUAGUCACUAACAACCAAAGUCAGAAGCAGCAGAUACUGGUUGAAGUAGUUCAGUAUUUUUACAGCUGUGGAGAGUGAAGAAGACGCUGGAGACUUGGAGUCUUGCAUGGACCCCCAGCAAGGACCCCCAGCUGGCUGCCUGCAUGUACAGCAAUACCAGUCAUGUUCUUCUGCACCAGAUUGAGGUUAAAACAAGUGGAUUCGCACGGACUGAGAGCAUCCCACCGCUGCGGGAUUGGAUUGGCUGUGGCUGGUGCUUAAGGCGGCCAGGACUGUAACUUUUCCACACGCAAGAAAAGCAAACUUGCAGACAUGGAGUUUCGUGCAUGACGAAAGCCAUCAUGAGGCUCUCGCCUGCCAGCCUCCAUUCUGCAAGAUCUGAGGCACAGACCAUUAACGAUCUGCUUCAGGUUCCACACAUGGGCUUAAAAGUAUGUGCGCUUUCCCUGUGAGCCUGCAGGAAAUUGAAGAUGUGCUCAGCUGAUGUCAUCGAAGAUUGCUGGAGGGCCGAGGGAGGAUACAGAUGGAGGCAGAGGGGGCAGGAUGUGUGUGUGUCAUGUGUGGGAUCACCCCCCCCCCCCGCUUGCUUUCCAGAUAUCCCACCACCCCCAGCAGCAUCAGCUCACGGCUCCUGUCCAAUCACUGCCCGUGGGGUGACGGGACACAGGCUGCAAGAUAAGGAAAAACAGCCCUUCGUUUAAACCACACUCGCGUCCGUAAGAGUCAUGUGCAAGGAAUCUUCCUCCACGAGCUCCUAGAGACGCCUGCGGUUUCUUGCCUCUGUUUUGAACAUGAUCCCAUAGGUAUGAGCUCACUGGAAAAAAAGUUACCAGGAAUUUCUGCACAGCCUUGCUGGAGGAUGUACCAGAGGCAGUGAUUUGUUUUCAUGCUUUCCUAAGGGAGUGCAGAUGGAGUUUUCCCAUAGAAACUCCGCUAAUCAAUUUUGCUCCCCCCAUCUCCCUCAUUUUCCUUUGCAUGUUCCAUUUCCUUACUGUGCAGGAAAAUGUGACCAUGCAUUACGGCUUCUCCACAUUCCGUUUCUAACAGGGUAGUGUUUCACAGUAAUUAUAAGCUUUCGCUGCAGUGACUCGCAGUGUUAGGACAUUCAGCUCAUCGAGCCCAUUUGAGUGUUAGUCAACAACUGAUACAGGUUUUGGGUUCGGUCAGCAUGGCUGGAUAGUCUGUUCCAUACUCCUAUAACCCUUUUUGUAAAGGUAUGCCUACUGUUCACAGAUUUACAUGCAUUCCCAUGCCAUUUCCUUUUUUUUUUUUUAGCAGUCUAGUGUGGUAGGACGGCACGAAACAUUUCCACCCUUUAGUUUCAUUGAUACAGUGCUCCGGAAACAUCAGGACAGAAAAGCACAAAAUAAUCUGUGUUGUGUUUUUGGCCAGUCUCAUACGUAAAUAUGGAAGCCUAUUAGCAGCACGGAGGGAAAAAAAUCUGCUUCCAUACGUCCAUUUGAUUAUAGCAGAACAAGGUCUACUAUAUGAGGUCUGCUUAGUUAUUUCAGGUGAUUUUGAGAACUGGGACACAGCCAGGUGCAGAGUAUAUAAGUCAGUUUUCUGUUUCCUGUCCCUCUCUGUGUGAAAUUGAGCGUCUUUGUGUUAUCAUUUAGAUGCUUUGUUACAGCCGCUUUGAGUUCUUGCCUGUUCUAGGGGUGUUCUUCCUUCAGUAUUUUACAGGUAUGUUAUUUGCAGUCUAUGUACUGGCUUUGUUACUCUGUUCUCCUCCUCACUGAUAACUGGUGUGUGGGGAGUGUACUGGUGCAUUCUGGCUGCUGUCACA